CGCUCACCUUGGAAAAUAUGUUUGUUUCUUCAGUAUCAACAGCAUAACUUGUACAUGGAUUUCCUGCUUUUGGAUAAUGCUAUUCUUAGCUAUUAUGAAUUAUUUCCUUCAUGAGAUUAUUUUGCUUCUCUGGAUCUAUUGCAGUCUAGUAUUCUUACUUAUUCAUCUUUUUUUCCUUUUUUAUUUGUUGAGAAAUUCAGGCCUUGCAAUCUUUGUCUAUUAAAUAUGGAGUGUUCCAGUCAAUUU
rnacentral:lncRNA from 1 species